UGAACGCUGGCGGCAGGCCUAACACAUGCAAGUCGAGCGAGAAAGCACUUCGGUGCGAGUACAGCGGCGGACGGGUGAGUAACGCGUAGGAAUCUACCCAGUAGUGGGGGACAACAUGGUGAAAACCAUGCUAAUACCGCAUACGCCCUAAGGGGGAAAGCGGGGGACCUUCGGGCCUCGCGCUAUUGGAUGAGCCUGCGUCGGAUUAGCUUGUUGGUGAGGUAAAAGCUCACCAAGGCGACGAUCCGUAGCUGGUCUGAGAGGAUGAUCAGCCACACUGGAACUGAGACACGGUCCAGACUCCUACGGGAGGCAGCAGUGGGGAAUAUUGCGCAAUGGGCGAAAGCCUGACGCAGCCAUGCCGCGUGUGUGAAGAAGGCCUUAGGGUUGUAAAGCACUUUCAAUUGGGAAGAAAAGUUGAUCGUUAAUAGCGGUCAGCCCUGACAUUACCUUUAGAAGAAGCACCGGCUAACUCC
rnacentral:rRNA from 1 species